GCUGUCAUAGCUCAAAUGGUAGAGCAAUCGCCCUGUAAGCGAUAGGUUGUCGGUUCGAAUCCGGUUGAUAGCU
rnacentral:tRNA from 4 species